rnacentral:rRNA from 1 species
AUGAGUCUACUCAGUUGGAACUGCCGGGGAGGGGGGAAUUCCCGGACAGUUCGUGAGCUUGCGACGAUUUGCCAGUCGUUCCCCCAAUUUGGUUUUUUGUGUGAAACUAGGCAAAAGGCGGAAAAGCUGAGGAGGAUUCGUGGUCGUCUCGGCCUCAAGGGGUUUUGUGGUGUGGAUAGUGAAGGCAUGAGUGGUGGGUUGGCUCUGUUUUGGCAUGAGUCUUAU